rnacentral:rRNA from 1 species
UACGGGGGGUGCGAGCGUUGUCCGGAAUUACUGGGCGUAAAGGGCUCGUAGGCGGCCAACUAAGUCGGAUGUGAAAUCCCCAGGCUUAACCUGGGAACUGCAUCCGAUACUGGAUGGCUUGAAUUCGGGAGAGGGAUGCAGAAUUCCAGGUGUAGCGGUGAAAUGCGUAGAUAUCUGGAGGAAUACCGGUGGCGAAGGCGGCAUCCUGGACCGAGAUUGACGCUGAUGAGCGAAAGCUAGGGGAGCAAACAGGG